AUUUUCACCACAAGAUGACACAAUGUAAUGUUAUCUGAUACUACGCUAACACCAGUUCAACUUUUAAAAUACAGAGGUGCUCUGCAGGUCAUCUCCAUUGGAUGGAAAGGGUAGGGCAGUAGAGUGACUCAGUCUUGAGGAUGAUGAGUGUUAACGGGCUCCACAAGAUCACAAAGUGGUGCGCAUAAGCCUAGUGACUCGCUGGUACAGCUGCUGGACAACUGUCAUGAGAUUCCUAAAAUGGUUUGUCAAAAGAGCACAAAAGACAUGAUCAGUGAGUGGUGCCAAACACAGCAAACUGUUCAAGCGAGGAAACAUAUGCCAACACACACAUAUAAAAAUCACACACAUAAAACAGAGGACAUGCCACUACCUCAGAUUGUUGCAAAUUACCAACAGAUGAACAGAAAAUAUAUUAUUAACACACACCAUGAUUCAUGACUAAGACAUUUUUCACACAAAUACAAACACUCGGGUAAACAUACACUGAAAUACACACUCACUCAUGCCUGUACACACACAUACUCACACAUACUCACACAGACUCACCGGGUGCUGAUGGAGACACAGUUGUUGGGGUUCAAGCAGAAGAGCGAAGCCACGCAGUAGACACAGCCCAACAACAUGGACAGCAGCCGUCUCUUUAAAGACAUCUUUAAUUCACAGUCCAAACGAUUCUCAACUUCAGCGUUCAACUUCAAAGUUCAAGCCCAAGACAGGAGAUUCGGUGGUGGUGAACCCUUGUGGAAAAUGGCCCCAUCAUCCCGGAUGUCUGCACCAGGGACUUUUCAAGGUGCAGCCAGAUAGCAGGCUGGACAAGAGUCAGAUGCAGAGGAACCACAGCUGCAGACGAGAGAGGCGGAGAUACUUUUCCCUCUCAGGAGCAAAGGCACACCAGGAGUGGAUGAGUCGCUCUGAAUGUUCUACCUUUUUUCCCAUUAUAACGUUUUAAUUAACAGCACCGUUUAUCAUUGUUUUACAAGGAGUUUGGGAGAGAAAGAUAUUAACAAGAAACAUUUACAGAAGUCAAUACAAAUAGGAAAAAGGGUCUUUGGAUUCAAAUAUCAAUAUACCACAGCAGGAGUGGAUGUUGGUGGAUAUAAUUUAUUUGUUUUGAGGGGGUGGGGAUCUCACAGAUAUAAAGGACUUAGAGCUUGUAAAUGACUCAAUGGCAGCUUACAAUAAGACAUGCUGGAUAGGAGAGUCGGCUGGCAACCUCACGGCCAUGAUGCCUGGUAUGAGACCUAUACCAACCCCUGUUGUCUACACCUCAAUGACACCAGAAAUUAUGGGAUGGGUCCUGAGUGUGGCCUGUCUCCUCAUUAUCUCAACCAACCUUCUGGUGGCUGCUGCUCUGUUUCAGCUAAUGUGCAGGAAGGGCAGUCAGAGCUGGUGCUUCUUUAUCAACCUGGCCCUGCCAGAUACCCUGAUGUCCCUAACAACAGGGUUUCAUUUCAAUUCAGGGGAUGAAGAGACUCAAUUUGUGAAUUCUUGAUCAACUGGAUAAUGAACAUGAUAUAUUUUUAUAUUAAUAAUCUAAAUACUAUAAAUAUAGUAGUAUAUAGUAUGUUUAUUAUUCUCCUCUGCUCUGUAGGCAUGGCGCGGCAGCUACAGCAGAGAAACUUAGACAGUAGCAGCCUUUGCACCUUCUUCUCUGUCAUCUGUCCUAGGGGCUUCAUUGUGGUGUUCUGUGCUGGCUUCUUCCCCAGCCUCUCUGUCUUCGCCUACUUCUACCUGGACAUCCUGAAGAUUGCCUGCGGCCACCAGAUGCAGAUCCGUCAGGCCAGCUAAAGGCUUCCACAGCGCAGCCACUACUGGGGCCACGUCAAGGCCCUGAGGACCGUGGCUCUGCUGAUGGGAUGUUUCACCAUCUGCUGGUGCCCUUUGUGGUGUGUGUGGUGCAGGUGCUGUGUGAGGGCUGUGAGUUGUACAAGGUGCUGGAGAACGACCUGUAGCUGCUGGGGCUGUCCAACUCCCUCAUCAACCCUCUGGUGUACGCCUGCUGGCAGAGGGAGGUGUGGCUGAAGAUCGGGGCACUCAUCUCCGUUAAGGACAGGUUCAAGAACACAGCUGUGUUAGAGGCUAGUGAGAGAUGUCAGACAGAGCUGCGUAUACUGUGUACACUUAUACUGUUAUAUCUGUGGACGAUACCCUGAGCCUGGACCCCACCUUCCCCCGGUCACCACUGAACAGGGCCACACUGCAUCGCUUUCUGCCUCAACCACCUUGUAAAUGACUUAAACAUUUUGAGAACAACUCAUUGAGGUUGAAUAAACCAAUUUGGACACUUA